CCUGAACUAAAGAUAGAAACAGCU
rnacentral:piRNA from 1 species